rnacentral:lncRNA from 1 species
GGGGUGUUUACCAGGGCACAUAAUUUUACCAGGGGGUGUUUACUCAAGGGCACUCAAACACUGAGCCACAUCCCCAGUCCUAUUUUGUAUUUUAUUUAGAGACAGGGUCUCACUGAGUUGCUUAGCGCCUCCCUGUUGCUGUGGCUGGCUUUGAACUCAUGAUCCUCCUGCCUCAGCCUCCCAAGCCACUGGGAUUACAGGCAAGUACCACCACACCUGUCUCUUGUCUAGUUUUGUUAUCAGGGUAACAGUUGCUGUAUAAAAAUGAGCUGGGGUUCUCUUUUUAUAAAUCUUAUUGAAUCUGUAAUUAUUCUUUUUUCCUAGUAUUACAUGC